UACGGAGGGGGCGAGCGUUAUUCGGAAUUACUGGGCGUAAAGGGCUCGUAGGCGGCCAACUAAGUCGGACGUGAAAUCCCUCAGCUUAACUGGGGAACUGCGUCCGAUACUGGAUGGCUUGGAUUCGGGAGAGGGAUGCGGAAUUCCAGGUGUAGCGGUGAAAUGCGUAGAUAUCUGGAGGAACACCGGUGGCGAAGGCGGCAUCCUGGACCGAUAUUGACGCUGAGGAGCGAAAGCCAGGGGAGCAAACGGG
rnacentral:rRNA from 1 species